AAAACUUCUGUUUCUAUUCUGUUUUCUUUUUAUACUAACAUGCUUUAUGAGGACAUCACGUCACGUUUGCACAGCAGCUGAAAGUACUAACAUGCCCAGUUUUAUAAAACUCCCCCAACACCUCUUUGGUCCACUUUGUACUGGUCCACUUUGUACUGGUCCACACCGGCGGCAGUCAGGGAGGCGUUAUGUUUUCAGGCUGUUCAUCCGUUCGUCCCCAUCUUGUGAACACGAUAUCUCAGGAAUGCCUUGAGGGAAUUUCUUCAAAUUUGCCACAAAUGUUCGCUGGAAAAGAUCCAGGUUCCUCAGAGCCGCUGAGAUCAGGUGAUGGAGGUUCUAAUUCUCCAAGUGAGACAUCCUCCUGAACACAGUUUAUGAACGAGAAGCAGUGCCACCACAGUCUCCCCCUUACGCUGGGAACUCAAUGAUUAUUCAUCACUCAAAUCAUAAACCUAUAUUCAGGGUCAGACAUUGAUUGAAAUCCAUCAACACAACUGACAAAUAAAAUGGUGGCGUCGAUUAGAUUUGAUCUUUUAGUUAAAAAUAAGAAAUGUAAACUUCCCUCUGAUAACGUUUGUUUAAAUAUUAGUAAAUCAAAUGAGGAUUUUUACUUUUUCUUAACCUGGAGUGAAGUAAAACACAUUUUCAAAAACAAUGAAAGUAUCACAGCACUGUUCACAUACAGUUAAUUUAAAUAUCAUCGUAGUGACAGUUUUAUAUUCCUGUUGUUUGGGCAUCCUUGUAAAAUCAUUAAAAUAAUACAAAUCUAAAUAUACAUGUGUAGACACCCACACAUCCCCAUUUUAGGGUCUGGAAAUAUAAUCUGUCUCAUGAUUCAGAUUAUAUUUGAGCGUCAUUACAAAAUUAGUUUUCAAGAUGUGUACAUUUUCAGAUUUUAUUUUAAUUCUAUUUUGGCCUGAACAAGAAAUUAAUUAAUCCAGACUCGCUUGUUUUGUUUGUUUGGUUCUAUUCAUGCUUUGUUGUGUUCUUCACCUUUAAAGUGCAUUUGAGUGGAGAUUAUAAAAGGGUUGUGGGAUGUUUUAAGUAUCUCAUAGGAAAUGUUCUGUUAAUAUUUAUAAUGUUAGUUUUUAGGGACAAGAGACUUUUCUGUUCUUUCUUUGUUAACAUUUACACUGCAAAAAUGAUCGGCGCAAAAUUACUGAACUUAUCUUUCAUUCCUAUCGUCUUGUUGACCACUCACACACUUUACCGUUCUCACUCAGUCCCAUUCACUCACUCAGUGUUUGUUCUGUCACACGUCAAUCACACACAUUGUCCACGACGCUGUCAGGUGUAGUUUUAGCGUUCUGAUUCUUGCUUAUGGACACUUGGGCAUGCGGACUGGAGUAGCUGGGGAUCGAACCUGUGCUUCUUUGGUUAGUGGACGAUCCGGUCUACCGCCUGAGCCACAGCCGCCGAAACAUGCAGCUGCAGAACCAGACUUUCUGUCUUGUAUUCAACCUAAACACUCACCUUGAAGACGUUAGGUCACGUUUCCCCUGAUGAGACAUGAGACGUGUCAUAUCACAAACGUACCAUUUUGUGUUUUGCCAACUUUACUAAUUGAACUUAUUAAGUUAGUUGAAGCAAAUACGUUUACAAAUCCAUUAAAUAUUCUUUGUUGAUUUAUAUUUACAAAUUGCAUUAACACAAUUUCCCGUUUUCAUUUUUACAGUGUAGAAACUGAACAUUUGAGGCUCAAUUUCUCUUCUUAUGUUGUUUUUUUAUAAAUAAAUGUUAAAUUUUGCUGCUUUGCUGUUUCAUACCUUUUGUACUUUUUGUGUUUUUAAUAAAGUCUCUGAUGAUCUCUGGGA